rnacentral:rRNA from 1 species
GACGAACGCUGGCGGCGUGCUUAACACAUGCAAGUCGAACGGAAAGGCCCUGCUUUUGUGGGGUGCUCGAGUGGCGAACGGGUGAGUAACACGUGAGUAACCUGCCCUUGACUUUGGGAUAACUUCAGGAAACUGGGGCUAAUACCGGAUAGGAGCUCCUGCUGCAUGGUGGGGGUUGGAAAGUUUCGGCGGUUGGGGAUGGACUCGCGGCUUAUCAGCUGGUUGGUGGGGUAGUGGCUUACCAAGGCUUUGACGGGUAGCCGGCCUGAGAGGGUGACCGGCCACAUUGGGACUGAGGUACGGCCCAGACUCCUACGGGAGGCAGCAGGGGGGAAUAUUGCACAAUGGGCGGAAGCCUGAGGCAGCAACGCCGCGUGCGGGAUGACGGCCUUCGGGUUGUAAACCGCUUUCGCCUGUGACGAAGCGGGAGUGACGGUAAUGGGUAAAGAAGCACCGGCUAACUACGUG